rnacentral:rRNA from 1 species
ACUCCUACGGGAGGCAGCAGUGGGGAAUAUUGCACAAUGGGGGAAACCCUGAUGCAGCCAUGCCGCGUGUGUGAAGAAGGCCUUCGGGUUGUAAAGCACUUUCAGUAGGGAGGAAGGUAGUGUAGUUAACACCUGCAUUAUUUGUACGUUACCUACAGAAGAAGCACCGGCUAACUCCGUGCCAGCAGCCGCGGUAAGUACGGAGGGUGCGAGCGUUAAUCGGAAUUACGUGGGCGUAAAGCGCAUGCAGGCGGCCUGUUAAGUCAGAUGUGAAAGCCCGGGGCUUAACCUCGGAAUUGCAUUUGAAACUGGCAGGCUAGAGUCUUGUAGAGGGGUUAGAAUUUCAGGUGUAGCGGUGAAAUGCGUAGAGAUCUGAAGG